AACGAACGCUGGCGGCAUGCCUAACACAUGCAAGUCGAACGAAACCUCCGGGUCUUUUGGCGCACGGGUGCGUAACGCGGGGGAACCUGCCCUUAGGUUCGGUAUAACUCCCCGAAAGGGGUGCUAAUACCGGAUAGUGUCUUCGGACCAAAGAUUUAUCGCCUUUGGAUGGGCCCGCGUUGGAUUAGCUAGUUGGUAGGGUAAAAGCCUACCAAGGCGACGAUCCAUAGCUGGUCUGAGAGGAUGAUCAGCCACACUGGGACUGAGACACGGCCCAGACUCCUACGCGAGGCAGCAGUGGGGAAUAUUGGAAGAUGGGCGAAGGCCUGAUACAGCAAUGCCGCGUGAGUGAUGAAGGCCUUAGGGAUGUAAAGCUCUUUUACCCGGGAUGAUAAUGACAGUACCGGGAGAAUAAGCUCCGGCUAACUACGUG
rnacentral:rRNA from 1 species